rnacentral:rRNA from 1 species
CUUAGGGAGGAGCUUGCNUCACAUUAGUUAGUUGGUGGGGUAAAGGCCUACCAAGACUAUGAUGUGUAGCCGGGCUGAGAGGUUGAACGGCCACAUUGGGACUGAGACACGGCCCAAACUCCUACGGGAGGCAGCAGUAGGGAAUUUUCGGCAAUGGAGGAAACUCUGACCGAGCAACGCCGCGUGAACGAUGAAGUAUUUCGGUACGUAAAGUUCUUUUAUUAGGGAAGAAUAAAUGAUGGAAAAAUCAUUCUGACGGUACCUAAUGAAUAAGCCCCGGCUAACUAUGUGCCAGCAGCCGCGGUAAUACAUAGGGGGCAAGCGUUAUCCGGAAUUAUUGGGCGUAAAGGGUGCGUAGGCGGUUAAAUAAGUUUAUGGUCUAAGUGCAAUGCUCAACAUUGUGAUGCUAUAAAAACUGUUUAGCUAGAGUAAGAUAGAGGCAAGUGGAAUUCCAUGUGUAGUGGUAAAAUGCGUAAAUAUAUGGAGGAACACCAGUAGCGAAGGCGGCUUGCUGGGUCUUUACUGACGCUGAGGCACGAAAGCGUGGGGAGCAAACAGGAUUAGAUACCCUGGUAGUCCACGCCGUAAACGAUGAGUACUAAACGUUGGGUAAAACCAGUGUUGAAGUUAACACAUUAAGUACUCCGCCUGAGUAGUACGUACGCAAGUAUGAAACUUAAAGGAAUUGACGGGACUCCGCACAAGCGGUGGAUCAUGUUGUUUAAUUCGAAGGUACCCGAAAAACCUCACCAGGUCUUGACAUGCUUCUGCAAAACUGUAGAAACACAGUGGAGGUUAUCAGUUGCACAGGUGGUGCAUGGUUGUCGUCAGCUCGUGUCGUGAGAUGUUGGGUUAAGUCCCGCAACGAGCGCAACCCUUAUUGUUAGUUACCAGCACGUAAUGGUGGGGACUUUAGCA